rnacentral:rRNA from 1 species
UACGAAGGGGGCUAGCGUUGCUCGGAAUCACUGGGCGUAAAGCGCACGUAGGCGGAUUGCUAAGUCAGGGGUGAAAGCUCGGAGCUCAACUCCGAAAUGGCAUUGGAAACUACCUUGCUCGAGGGUUGGAGGGGGGACUGGAAUACUUGGUGUAGCAGUGAAAUGCGUAGAUAUCAAGUGGAACACCAGUGGCGAAGGCGAGUCCCUGGACAACUCCUGACACUGAGGCACGAAAGCUAGGGGAGCAAACAGG